AUGAUAUCUACCUCAAGCUUCUCGUCAAGUUGUACCGAUUUCUGGUGAGGAGGACGGGGAGUAAAUUCAAUGCGGUGAUUCUGAAGCGACUCUUCAUGAGCAAGAUUAACAAGCCCCCUCUUCCCUCUCUCGUUUGAUUCGUUUCAUGAAGGGCAAGGAGGAUAAGGUUGCUGUGGUUGUUGGUACUGUAACUGAUGAUAUCCGGGUGUAUGAAGUCCCUUCCCUGAAGGUUACUGCACUGAGGUUCACAGAGACAGCAAGGGCAAGGAUUGAGAAGGCAGGUGGGGAGUGCUUGACUUUUGACCAGCUUGCUCUUAAAGCUCCUCUUGGUCAGAACACGGUUCUCCUCAGGGGUCCCAAGAAUGCUCGUGAGGCUGUGAAGCACUUUGGACCAGC
rnacentral:misc_RNA from 1 species